CAAGUCGAACGGGAAUCUUCGGAUUCUAGUGGCGGACGGGUGAGUAACGCGUAAGAAUCUAACUUCAGGACGGGGACAACAGUUGGAAACGACUGCUAAUACCCGAUGUGCCGCAAGGUGAAACCUAAUUGGCCUGAAGAAGAGCUUGCGUCUGAUUAGCUAGUUGGUGGGGUAAAGGCCUACCAAGGCGACGAUCAGUAGCUGGUCUGAGAGGAUGAGCAGCCACACUGGGACUGAGACACGGCCCAGACUCCUACGGGAGGCAGCAGUGGGGAAUUUUCCGCAAUGGGCGAAAGCCUGACGGAGCAACGCCGCGUGAGGGAGGAAGGUCUUUGGAUUGUAAACCUCUUUUCUCAAGGAAGAAGUUCUGACGGUACUUGAGGAAUCAGCCUCGGCUAACUCCGUGCCAGCAGCCGCGGUAAUACGGGGGAGGCAAGCGUUAUCCGGAAUUAUUGGGCGUAAAGCGUCCGCAGGUGGUCAGCCAAGUCUGCUGUCAAAUCAGGUUGCUUAACGACCUAAAGGCGGUGGAAACUGGCAGACUAGAGAGCAGUAGGGGUAGCAGGAAUUCCCAGUGUAGCGGUGAAAUGCGUAGAGAUUGGGAGGAACAUCGGUGGCGAAAGCGUGCUACUGGGCUGUAUCUGACACUCAGGGACGAAAGCUAGGGGAGCGAAAGGGAUUAGAUACCCCUGUAGUCCUAGCCGUAAACGAUGGAUACUAGGCGUGGCUUGUAUCGACCCGAGCCGUGCCGAAGCUAACGCGUUAAGUAUCCCGCCUGGGGAGUACGCACGCAAGUGUGAAACUCAAAGGAAUUGACGG
rnacentral:rRNA from 1 species